AAUCGAUUAUCAUUCGAUAGCACAACAUGUUAUUGCGCUCCUACAGCACAUUUAAGGGAAAUACAAGUGGAAUGCCGAAAAAAUACAAAUCCAAGUGUUUUCAGAAAUAUAAUGGAAAAAUGCAGAGUUUGCUUGCUAAAAUACCAAAACAUGGUCAAUUUUUAAGCAAUCUGUGGAGCGUGAGAUUUCCUUGGCUGAUAUGAUUGCGCAGUCCACCGGCUUUUCAGUUCAAAAAGGAGACCCAUUUUCCGAAUUUAUUUGUGCAUCCUCGUCCGUGGGAUCACAGUCAGCACAGUGCCAGGAGUAGCCGCGAAUCUUGGGCGACUUCUUGAGCGGCGGAUCGAGGCAGGCGAAGUGGUAGUGCCGGUGGCACUCGUCGCAGGUCACCACCUGGUUGGACUUGCCCGUCUGGCUGCACACGCAGCAGCUGAUUUCCACAGUAGGCUUGGCGUUGGACACCCGUGGUCGACCCACACGUGGCUUCCGGGGACUUGCCUUUCGUGGACUGACCUUUCUUUUAGGUGAUGGUGUGGGGUUGACGGAAGCGCUGGCCGCAGUCUCCUUGGGCUCCCGAACCUUUUGCGGCGACGCUGCCGGCAGCACGAUGGGUGCCAAGGCUUGCUCCGCUCCCUGGACGCUGUCCUCGACUGUUUCAACUGAGGUGGGGCGCGAGGCUUCGUCCACGGAGCGCACCGCAUUGGCCGGCACGUAGAAGUAUUGAGACUCGGGCGCAUCCUCGCCGGGUAAACGCAGAGCCUUGAAUAUAAUCUUAAUGGUGCUGCCCGAGUUGUUGCCCACGGUAUCCAAGUGGGUGGAAGACUCGUCGAGGUGGGCACGCUUUUUUCGCUUCCGUUUAUGCUCCUUGCCGAUGGAUUUCUCUGUGUCCGAAGACAGGUUGUGUUUGUUUUUGUGCUUGUCCUUGCGCUUACCCUUUCGCGAUAAUUUUCCACUGGAGUCGUCAAUCGAGUCCUCGCAGCCAGAUAGGUUAAUGACGAUAGUAUUAGGCGUGGGCAGAGUUGGAGCUGCCGCAGGAGUAGC